GAUGAACGCUGACAGAAUGCUUAACACAUGCAAGUCAACUUGAAUUUGGGUUUUUAACUUAGGUUUGGGUGGCGGAUGGGUGAGUAACGCGUAAAGAACUUGCCUCACAGCUAGGGACAACAUUUGGAAACGAAUGCUAAUACCUAAUAUUAUGAUAAUAGGGCAUCCUAUAAUUAUGAAAGCUAUAAGCGCUGUGAGAGAGCUUUGCGUCCCAUUAGCUAGUUGGAGAGGUAACGGCUCACCAAGGCGAUGAUGGGUAGCCGGCCUGAGAGGGUGAUCGGCCACAAGGGGACUGAGACACGGCCCUUACUCCUACGGGAGGCAGCAGUGGGGAAUAUUGGACAAUGGACCGAGAGUCUGAUCCAGCAAUUCUGUGUGCACGAUGAAGUUUUUCGGAAUGUAAAGUGCUUUCAGUUGGGAAGAAACAAAUGACGGUACCAACAGAAGAAGUGACGGCUAAAUACGUG
rnacentral:rRNA from 1 species